AUUUGAACUUCUAGCCUACUUUACUGUGAGGAAAUAAAUUUCUCUUUGUUAAAGUCAUCCACUUGUGGUACUUCUGUUAUAGAAGCACUAGAUAACUAAUAUAGGUGAGCUCCCCUCUGCCAGGGGGCUGGUGCCCGUGGCUUAGGUGACUCCAGACAACCUCAGGUCGAUUGCAAGACUGCUAUGACCCAUUUGAACGUCUGCCCUAUCAACUUUCAAUGGUAGUUUACAUGCGUACCAUGGUGACCAAGGGUGAUGAGGAAUCAGGGUUUGACUCCAGAGAGCAAGUCUGAGAAAAGGCUACCAUAUCCAAGGAAGGCA
rnacentral:ncRNA from 1 species